UACGGGGGGAGCAAGCGUUGUUCGGAUUUACUGGGCGUAAAGGGCGCGUAGGCGGCCACUGCAAGUCGGUUGUGAAAUCUCCGGGCUUAACCCGGAAAGGUCAAUCGAUACUGCAGGGCUAGAGUGCAGAAGGGGCAACUGGAAUUCUCGGUGUAGCGGUGAAAUGCGUAGAUAUCGAGAGGAACACCUGCGGCGAAGGCGGGUUGCUGGGCCGACACUGACGCUGAAGCGCGAAAGCUAGGGGAGCGAACGGG
rnacentral:rRNA from 1 species